rnacentral:misc_RNA from 1 species
GAUGAAGAACGUAGCGAAAUGCGAUACUUGGUGUGAAUUGCAGAAUCCCGUGAACCAUCGAGUCUUUGAACGCAAGUUGCGCCCGAAGCCAUUAGGCCGAGGGCACGCCUGCCUGGGCGUCACACGUCGUUGCCCCCCCAUCUACUCCUUCGGGAUUGCGGGGGGCGGAUGAUGGCCUCCCGUGCGCCUCGCCGCGCGGUUGGCAUAAAUGCCAAGUCCUCGGCGACGCACGCCACGACAAUCGGUGGUUGCGAAACCUCGGUUGCCCGUCGUGUGCGGUCGUCGCGCAUCGAGGGCUCGAAAAAAUUGCCGGGUUCCGGCUCGGCUUUCAACGCGACCCCAGGUCAGGCGGGGUUACCCGCUGAAUUUAAGCAUAUCAAUAAACGGAGGA